GGUUAAGCGACUAAGCGUACACGGUGGAUGCCCUGGCAGUCAGAGGCGAUGAAGGACGUGCUAAUCUGCGAUAAGCGUCGGUAAGGUGAUAUGAACCGUUAUAACCGGCGAUUUCCGAAUGGGGAAACCCAGUGUGUUUCGACACACUAUCAUUAACUGAAUCCAUAGGUUAAUGAGGCGAACCGGGGAACUGAAACAUCUAAGUACCCCGAGGAAAAGAAAUCAACCGAGAUUCCCCCAGUAGCGGCGAGCGAACGGGGAGGAGCCCAGAGCCUGAAUCAGUGUGUGUGUUAGUGGAAGCGUCUGGAAAGGCGCGCGAUACAGGGUGACAGCCCCGUACACAAAAAUGCACAUACUGUGAGCUCGAUGAGUAGGGCGGGACACGUGGUAUCCUGUCUGAAUAUGGGGGACCAUCCUCCAAGGCUAAAUACUCCUGACUGACCGAUAGUGAACCAGUACCGUGAGGGAAAGGCGAAAAGAACCCCGGCGAGGGGAGUGAAAAAGAACCUGAAACCGUGUACGUACAAGCAGUGGGAGCCUCUUUUAUGGGGUGACUGCGUACCUUUUGUAUAAUGGGUCAGCGACUUAUAUUCUGUAGCAAGGUUAACCGAAUAGGGGAGCCGAAGGGAAACCGAGUCUUAACUGGGCGUUAAGUUGCAGGGUAUAGACCCGAAACCCGGUGAUCUAGCCAUGGGCAGGUUGAAGGUUGGGUAACACUAACUGGAGGACCGAACCGACUAAUGUUGAAAAAUUAGCGGAUGACUUGUGGCUGGGGGUGAAAGGCCAAUCAAACCGGGAGAUAGCUGGUUCUCCCCGAAAGCUAUUUAGGUAGCGCCUCGUGAAUUCAUCUCCGGGGGUAGAGCACUGUUUCGGCAAGGGGGUCAUCCCGACUUACCAACCCGAUGCAAACUGCGAAUACCGGAGAAUGUUAUCACGGGAGACACACGGCGGGUGCUAACGUCCGUCGUGAAGAGGGAAACAACCCAGACCGCCAGCUAAGGUCCCAAAGUCAUGGUUAAGUGGGAAACGAUGUGGGAAGGCCCAGACAGCCAGGAUGUUGGCUUAGAAGCAGCCAUCAUUUAAAGAAAGCGUAAUAGCUCACUGGUCGAGUCGGCCUGCGCGGAAGAUGUAACGGGGCUAAACCAUGCACCGAAGCUGCGGCAGCGACGCUUAUGCGUUGUUGGGUAGGGGAGCGUUCUGUAAGCCUGCGAAGGUGUGCUGUGAGGCAUGCUGGAGGUAUCAGAAGUGCGAAUGCUGACAUAAGUAACGAUAAAGCGGGUGAAAAGCCCGCUCGCCGGAAGACCAAGGGUUCCUGUCCAACGUUAAUCGGGGCAGGGUGAGUCGACCCCUAAGGCGAGGCCGAAAGGCGUAGUCGAUGGGAAACAGGUUAAUAUUCCUGUACUUGGUGUUACUGCGAAGGGGGACGGAGAAGGCUAUGUUGGUCGGGCGACGGUUGUCCCGGUUUAAGCGUGUAGGCUGGUUUUCCAGGCAAAUCCGGAAAACCAAGGCUGAGGCGUGAUGACGAGGCACUACGGUGCUGAAGCGACAAAUGCCCUGCUUCCAGGAAAAGCCUCUAAGCAUCAGGUAACAUCAAAUCGUACCCCAAACCGACACAGGUGGUCAGGUAGAGAAUACCAAGGCGCUUGAGAGAACUCGGGUGAAGGAACUAGGCAAAAUGGUGCCGUAACUUCGGGAGAAGGCACGCUGAUAUGUAGGUGAAGCGACUUGCUCGUGGAGCUGAAAUCAGUCGAAGAUACCAGCUGGCUGCAACUGUUUAUUAAAAACACAGCACUGUGCAAACACGAAAGUGGACGUAUACGGUGUGACGCCUGCCCGGUGCCGGAAGGUUAAUUGAUGGGGUUAGCGGUAACGCGAAGCUCUUGAUCGAAGCCCCGGUAAACGGCGGUACCGUAACUAUAACGGUCCUAAGGUAGCGAAAUUCCUUGUCGGGUAAGUUCCGACCUGCACGAAUGGCGUAAUGAUGGCCAGGCUGUCUCCACCCGAGACUCAGUGAAAUUGAACUCGCUGUGAAGAUGCAGUGUACCCGCGGCAAGACGGAAAGACCCCGUGAACCUUUACUAUAGCUUGACACUGAACAUUGAGCCUUGAUGUGUAGGAUAGGUGGGAGGCUUUGAAGUGUGGACGCCAGUCUGCAUGGAGCCGACCUUGAAAUACCACCCUUUAAUGUUUGAUGUUCUAACGUUGGCCCGUAAUCCGGGUUGCGGACAGUGUCUGGUGGGUAGUUUGACUGGGGCGGUCUCCUCCUAAAGAGUAACGGAGGAGCACGAAGGUUGGCUAAUCCUGGUCGGACAUCAGGAGGUUAGUGCAAUGGCAUAAGCCAGCUUGACUGCGAGCGUGACGGCGCGAGCAGGUGCGAAAGCAGGUCAUAGUGAUCCGGUGGUUCUGAAUGGAAGGGCCAUCGCUCAACGGAUAAAAGGUACUCCGGGGAUAACAGGCUGAUACCGCCCAAGAGUUCAUAUCGACGGCGGUGUUUGGCACCUCGAUGUCGGCUCAUCACAUCCUGGGGCUGAAGUAGGUCCCAAGGGUAUGGCUGUUCGCCAUUUAAAGUGGUACGCGAGCUGGGUUUAGAACGUCGUGAGACAGUUCGGUCCCUAUCUGCCGUGGGCGCUGGAGAACUGAGGGGGCUGCUCCUAGUACGAGAGGACCGGAGUGGACGCAUCACUGGUGUUCGGGUUGUCAUGCCAAUGGCACUGCCCGGUAGCUAAAUGCGGAAGAGAUAAGUGCUGAAAGCAUCUAAGCACGAAACUUGCCCCGAGAUGAGUUCUCCCUGAGACUUUAAGUCUCCUGAAGGAACGUUGAAGACGACGACGUUGAUAGGCCGGGUGUGUAAGCGCAGCGAUGCGUUGAGCUAACCGGUACUAAUGAACCGUGAGGCUUAACCUU
rnacentral:rRNA from 1 species